rnacentral:tRNA from 1 species
AAUAAAGUGCCUGAUUAAAGGAUUAUUUUGAUAGGAUAAAUCAUGUAAAUAUUGCUUACCUUUAUUA